rnacentral:rRNA from 1 species
GACGAACGCUGGCGGCGUGCCUAACACAUGCAAGUCGAACGGGAUGCGUAUCGGAAAGCUUCGGCCGGAAGAUACGUUAUCUAGUGGCGGACGGGUGAGUAACACGUGGGUAACCUGCCUUAUGGAGGGGGAUAACAGAGAGAAAUCACUGCUAAUACCGCAUAAGCACACAGUACCGCAUGGUACAGGGUGAAAAGAUUUAUCACCAUAAGAUGGACCCGCGUCUGAUUAGCCAGUUGGCAGGGUAAAAGCCUACCAAAGCAACGAUCAGUAGCCGAUCUGAGAGGAUGACCGGCCACAUUGGGACUGAGACACGGCCCAAACUCCUACGGGAGGCAGCAGUGGGGAAUAUUGCACAAUGGGGGAAACCCUGAUGCAGCGACGCCGCGUGAGUGAAGAAGUAUUUCGGUAUGUAAAGCUCUAUCAGCAGGGAAGAUAA